AAUCGGUGGCAGUUGAAGGAAGGUCCUGAGACAUGGGUAGAGGUGUGCCCCAGUGCGGGCUAAACCGCCAUUGAACAAGGAGAGGGCCUCCCUCAGCUCCUUGACGUACAUAAUUGGGCUGGCGGCACUACCAUUUGGAGAAGUUCCUAUUGACUUUGGGUAGAUGAGAGAAUGUCCAGCCUUCUGGCAGAGACCAAGAGGAGCAGCCACCCUGAGACCAUCCAGGGAGAUGGAAACUAGACAGUCAUCUGUGGAGUCAGAGCAAAUAGAAAUUUGCUUAAGUUAAGUAUUGAGGGAGGACUGCAAGAACUCUUGUCAGCAUGGGGUGGGUCUCUGAGAAAAGGCCUUUGCAUGUAUGUGAGGCACAAUAAGCUUGGGGGAGUCGUUUGUCCCCUCUCGAGGACUUGUCUGGUGCUAUGGAGUCUUCCUGAAGUACGGUAACUAUGUGGAGAGCAACUUGCUCAGUCCUCAGCUCUCUUCCUUCUACAUCACUGAGUGAGCUUCCCUGGUCACGCCACUCUAGUCCUCCUCCCUACCAACUCUGGCUUGCUUCAGAGGACGUGAGCGGGGGGACCGAGAAUAGCUCUUGGCCCGUGUGUCCGCUCACAAAGGUGCAUCACCCAGGGCAGGUGGAAGGUCCAAGGCUCAGCACAGCAUCCCGGACUGAUGUGCUCUGGCCUGGGUUCCUGAAUCCUGCUCCCUGAGGGUUGUGCUGGCCCCGUAGCUGGACCCCGCACCAGGGAGGCUAUUAUGGGCAGUGAGCGGUCAAAGGGCAGUAGGGAGCUGAGGAGCAGCCAUAGCCCUGCGGUCCCAAGGAGGACAAGAUGGGGAAGCUCUGCGGCUGCCUGCAGUCUGACAUUAGCUAGUGCGGCAGCCGCCUCACCCUGCCAAACUAUGGCUUCUGGCCUCUGACAUGGCCAUGGGCCAGGGCCUUGGAGGAGAGGAGGCAGGGCUGGCACUUCACUGAGGAGGAGCCGGAGGUGGAGCCACAGGAGGGGCAGGGCCUCAUGACAAAGGGGGUUGCAGCUGCCACCAGAAGAGGCUGGCGCUGCCCACGGCUGGCCACGGGGUGUUACUGUUUUUUUCUGAGAAACACUCUGUGCAUUACUUUGAGUUGCCACUGGGUGUCACCACUGCUCCAUGGAAGAGACAGUCCAUGCAUUACCCCUGACUAGUCAGCGGUGUCACUGCUGCUCCUUGAAUAAACAGUUUGUGCAUUA